rnacentral:rRNA from 1 species
UACGUAGGGGGCGAGCGUUGUCCGGAAUUAUUGGGCGUAAAGAGCGUGUAGGCGGUUCGGUAAGUCCGCCGUGAAAACCUGGGGCUCAACCCUGGGCGUGCGGUGGAUACUGCCGGGCUAGAGGGUGGUAGAGGCGAGUGGAAUUCCCGGUGUAGCGGUGAAAUGCGCAGAUAUCAGGAAGAACACCGACGGCGAAGGCAGCUCGCUGGGACGGUACUGACGCUGAGGCGCGAAAGCGUGGGGAGCGAACAGG